rnacentral:snoRNA from 1 species
GUGAUUAAGGCCGGCAAUGCUGAUAGGUGAAGAAUGCCGUGGCCUGA